rnacentral:rRNA from 1 species
AGAGUUUGAUCCUGGCUCAGGAUGAACGCUAGCGGCAGGCCUAAUACAUGCAAGUCGGACGGGAUUGAGAUCAAAGCUUGCUUUGAUCUCAUGAGAGUGGCGCACGGGUGCGUAACGCGUGAGCAACCUACCCAUAUCAGGGGGAUAGCCUCUCGAAAGAGAGAUUAACACCGCAUAACAUCAUUGUCCGGCAUCGGAUUGUGAUCAAAUAUUUAUAGGAUAUGGAUGGGCUCGCGUGACAUUAGCUAGUUGGAGAGGUAACGGCUCACCAAGGCUACGAUGUCUAGGGGCUCUGAGAGGAGAAUCCCCCACACUGGUACUGAGACACGGACCAGACUCCUACGGGAGGCAGCAGUAAGGAAUAUUGGUCAAUGGAGGCAACUCUGAACCAGCCAUGCCGCGUGCAGGAUGACUGCCCUAUGGGUUGUAAACUGCUUUUGUCAGGGAAUAAACCUUUCUACGUGUAGGAAGCUGAAUGUACCUGAAGAAUAAGGAUCGGCUAACUCCGUGCCAGCAGCCGCGGUAAUAC